ACAGAGAGACAGAGAGACACCUGCAGACCUGCUUCACCACUUGUGAAGUAACCCCCCUGCAGGUGGGGAGCUGGGGGCUCAAACCAGAAUCCUUGCACAGAUCCCUGUGCUUGGUACUAUGUGCGCUUACCCAGGUGCACCACUGCCCAGCCCCCUACUGUGGUCUCUUUCACUCUUUCUCUCUCCCUUCUCUGUCUCUAUCUUUAAAAAAUAUAUAAUAGAUAUAUUUGAACUCGUAAGAUUUACGUGAAUAAAACAGCAUGUCCAUUCAGAAAUCAACUUGUUCUUAUGAAACAUGUUGGAGUGACAAUUCUAUCUUUUCACCUUUGCCUCUAGAAGAAGAACUGACUAAAGCCAUGGAGGAGAAACGAGUAGUCCCUGAAAAUCUUCUCAAGUCAUAACGACUAAAUUUAGAUGCCCUUCUGCCCACUCCAUGUGCAGCUGUGCUGCUGACUCACUCACAGCUGAAGCCGGCUAGAGAAGCAGAUCCUCCACUUAGAAAACCUCCCUAGGGCAGUGGGCUCAGCACCUGGCCUCUUUACAGAGCCAGCCUGGACCUUCCAGCCCAAAUUCCUUCUGCUGUGGCUGAUGUCCAAUCUGUUCCACUUUGCACUCCUCCAGACACAUAGAGUAUUACUAAGAUGGAGUUGUGGUCACAAAUGACAGUGUGAACAGGACUUCUUGGCCUCACAGAAGAACUAGAACUUCACUCCAGGGGAACGAGGAAAAUAGAAAGAAAAGAGGCUGAUGGGGCAGUGAUGAAGGGUCCUGGACCCCAUGAUAAACAAUUCAACCUCA